GAUGAACGCUAGCGGCAGGCCUAAUACAUGCAAGUCGAACGGGUGGUCGCAAGACCACUAGUGGCGCACGGGUGCGUAACGCGUAACCAACCUGCCCCGAUCUGGGGGAUAGCCCGCCGAAAGGCGGAUUAAUACCGCAUAUACCCGCAGCCUGGCAUCAGGCAACGGGGAAAGAUUUAUUGGAUCGGGAUGGGGUUGCGUGACAUUAGCUAGUUGGCGGGGUAAGGGCCCACCAAGGCGACGAUGUCUAGGGGACCUGAGAGGGUGAUCCCCCACACUGGCACUGAGAUACGGGCCAGACUCCUACGGGAGCCAGCAGUAGGGAAUAUUGGGCAAUGGGCGAGAGCCUGACCCAGCCAUGCCGCGUGCCGGAUGAAGGCCUUCUGGGUUGUAAACGGCUUUUCUCAGGGAAGAAAAAGACCUUGCGAGGUACACUGACGGUACCUGAGGAAUAAGCACCGGCUAACUCCGUG
rnacentral:rRNA from 1 species